UGCUAUUGGAAGAACGGUAACCGUUCAGGUUACCGGUCCCUUUGUUCGCGUAGUUAUUGUGAGCUUGUCUUUCUUAGUGCGCUCCAGAGAGCGCUGAUGUUUUGGCGUCGAUGACGCCGGAGUUUUGGUGUCGACAUCCAUAACCUUCUCCGAGGCGCUGGAUGAUCGAGAACCAGGCGCUGAGACGCGCGUCUCAGGCCUGGGAGUUCGAUUUAGCCUGGGGCCCUGUGGAACCGGGGUCUGCAGGCCAGUCUGUGAUGAUGAUGAUGAUGAUGGAGCAGGACUGGCUGCUGCCACCAAGGGGACGGAUGGAGUUACUACUGGGCCACUGACUGCGGUCCCUGUAGACUCCUGAGACCACUGCGGUGCUGUCCCCUGUCGCACCGCACUGGCGUAGGUUGUUUGAGCAGGGGCAAGAUCGUGAAUAUGCUGGAUGAUCUCCUUUGCAGUUUGUACAGUGUGGAGCAGCAUUACAGUUUUCCGACUGAUGGUCAUUGGCAC
rnacentral:lncRNA from 1 species